CGAUGGUGGCAACAGGCCAGCCUCAAGUCUGGUUAGUGGAUGAUACAUUUAACUCUUUGCCAAAUAGAGACAAAGCAUUUCUUAUUUUAUCCCAUAGUGUACUAGAAAACUCAGAUCACAUACCAAGUUACAUUUCCCUGACUGAAUGUGUAGUUUACUUCAUCAUCAUUUCCCCGACUGAAUGUGUAGUUUACUUCAUCAUCAUUUCCCUGACUGAAUGUGUAGUAUACUUCAUCAUCAUUUCCCUGACUGAAUGUGUAGUUUACUUCAUCAUCAUUUCCCCGACUGAAUGUGUAGUAUACUUCAUCAUCAUUUCCACGACUGAAUGUGUAGUUUACUUCAUCAUCAUUUCCCCGACUGAAUGUGUAGUAUACUUCAUCAUCAUUUCCCUGACUGAAUGUGUAGUUUACUUCAUCAUCAUUUCCCUGACUGAAUGUGUAGUAUACUUCAUCAUCAUUUCCCCGACUGAAUGUGUAGUUUACUUCAUCAUCAUUUCCCUGACUGAAUGUGUAGUAUACUUCAUCAUCAUUUCCCCGACUGAAUGUGUAGUUUACUUCAUCAUCAUUUCCCUGACUGAAUGUGUAGUAUACUUCAUCAUCAUUUCCCCGACUGAAUGUGUAGUUUACUUCAUCAUCAUUUCCCUGACUGAAUGUGUAGUAUACUUCAUCAUCAUUUCCCUGACUGAAUGUGUAGUUUACUUCAUCAUCAUUUCCCUGUCUGCAUGUGUAGUAUACUUCAUCAUCAUUUCCCUGUCUGCAUGUGUAGUAUACUUUAUCAGAAAGGGCUGGAUUUUCCCCAAAGCAGUUCAAACUAAUGCUCUAGCAAAUGUGUGGGUUUAAAUAGAAUAUACUUCACCAUAAACCACAGGAAUAUGGUCAAGGACUAUUAUUUAAUUCCCAGUUUGUUCGCUUUUGUCAUCAUGUUGUGAUGAUUGACUGUUUGUAUUGCAUACUCUCAAUUAGCAUACAUCAUGUUGUGAGAAAGUUGUGAUGAAUUCAAAACCAUGUGGUGCUAGUUUAAUUCAAAUU
rnacentral:lncRNA from 1 species